GUGAGGAAUAUUGCGCAAUGGAGGCAACUCUGACGCAGCCAUGCCGCGUGCAGGAAGAAGGCGCUACGCGUUGUAAACUGCUUUUAACCGGGAAGAAACCCCAGGACGUGUCCUGGGUUGACGGUACCGGAGGAAUAAGCACCGGCUAACUUCGUGCCAGCAGCCGCGGUAAUACGAAGGGUGCAAGCGUUAUCCGGAUUCAUUGGGUUUAAAGGGUGCGUAGGCGGAGCGUUAAGUCAGUGGUGAAAUCCUGCAGCUUAACUGUAGACUUGCCAGUGAUACUGGCGCUCUUGAGUGCGCUUGAAGUGGGCGGAAUGUGCCGUGUAGCGGUGAAAUGCUUAGAUAUGGCACAGAACACCAAUUGCGAAGGCAACUCACUAAGGCGAUACUGACGCUGAGGCACGAAAGCGUGGGGAUCGAACAGGAUUAGAUACCCGGGUAGUCC
rnacentral:rRNA from 1 species